rnacentral:RNase_P_RNA from 1 species
AAAGUAAACCAGGCGGUCGCCUCGUUCCGGUCCGUUCCGGAGCGGGGAGGAAAGUCCGAACUCCGCAGGGCAGGAUGCUCCCGAAAGGGGAGAUCCCGGUGACGGGAUGGACCCUGCCACAGAAAACACACGGCCGAUCUCCCGGUUCCACGGUGAUCGGGAGAGGCAAAGGUGAAAAGGUGGGGUAAGAGCCCACCGGUCCGGCGGUGACGUCGGGCGUCUGGCACUCCCAUCCGGAGCAAGGCCAAGUAGGAGGGGAAUCCCGCUUCGGCGGGAGGGAAGUGGCCCGCUUCCCUCGACCCUCGGGUAGGCCGCGUCAGAUAAAUGAUCGCCUCGUCCCGUUUGCACGGGAUCAGACAGAAUUCGGCUUACCGGUUUACUUUGGAU